CAGCCUGGGCAACAAGAGCAAAACUCUUUCUCAAAAAAAAAAAAAAAAAAGGAAAUACCCAAAGUGUGUUUUUCUCGCUAAGAACCAGUAAUUCCUUUUCUUGAUUUCUGUGUUGUUUUUGAGACCCUAUUUUAUUUAGUUCUCCUCUGAUCUUUAUUAUUUUUUUCAUGGGCUAAUUUUGGUUUUGCUUUGUUCUUGCUUUUCUAGUUCUUUAAGGUGCAUCAUCAGUUUAUUAAUUUAUCAUCUUUCUACUUUUUGAUGUAGGUAUUUAUUGCUACAAACUUCCCUCACAGCACUGAUUUUGCUGAAUCCAAAAGCUUUUGGUAUAUGGUAUUUCCAUUUUCAUUUGUUUGAAAACAUUUUUGGAUUUUCAUUUUAAUUUCUUCAUUGAAUCAGUGCUCAUUCAGGAGGGUGGGGUUUGAUUUUCAUGUAUGUGUAUAGGUUCUGUAGUUUGCCUUGAUAUCCAUUUCUAGUUUUAUUUCUCUGUUGUCUGAUAAUUGGAAUGACAUGAUUGUGAUCUCUUAAAAUUUGUAGGUAGGGACAGCUUUUGUGGACUAACAAAGGAUCUGUUUUGAAAAAUGUUUCAUGUGCUGAUAAAAAAAGUAUAUUAAUUUAUCUAAAAAUAGCACACACAGAAACUCAAAUAAUAUAUAUUUUGCAAAAUAACCAUAGUCUUCAAAACAAACAAAAAAACAAAAAAGAGACUGCGGAGCCAUGUUUGACAUUUUUGCAAAAGAGAGGACACUUGAGUCCUCCUGUCUCCUUCUGCAUUCCAACUAUCUCAAAAUCUUGUUAGGUUGAAAUACACAAACAAUACCCAGCCUCCCUCAAAUAGGUCUGUGUAAAGGAAGGAGUUUGGGUUUGGUUUCUCUUGGAGAUGAAAGCACUGGGUCCUAUGGAAAGUAUGUCCCUCCCAGCCUGCCCUGGCCAUCACCCCAGUUGCCACUCCAGCAGGAUCUGGGCAUCCCAGGCACUUCUGUUCUGAGCAACUCUCCCCAACAGAGUUCCUAGGAGAAGAGCAGGAGGACGCUCAGAUGCGAAUCCCAAAGCUGUCACCUCCUGAGCCAGCUGCUUGGCCAGGAAUCCUGCUCCCCUGCCGAGACCUCUUUGCUGGGCCAGAACCAGGUCUUGGACAGAGUCUGGAUGGCUCUUGGGGCUCCGGGCCAGGGAGAGAAGGGGACACUACAAUGCAUGGACCAUACAGUCCUCCAGCCCAGCAGCCUCAAGCCUCAGCAGGAAUCUUCAGCGAUCUACAGGUGGAUCUGCAGCCAUUGUGUGAGCCUGUUCUUCCUGCGCGCCUCUCCCUCCAGUACCUAUUGUGUGCACUGCCUGCUCCCCACCAAGGCAUUGCCAGCAGGUGCCUUGUGUGCAUACCUGGCCGUGCCAAUCCCUUAAGGUCGCCCUUCCCGCGAAGAUCCUUGACUCGCACCGUCUUUGCACGUGCACCCACUCACACAGGUUGGAAAGAUGCGUUGCCCGUCAACAGGGGAAACUGCUCGCAUAGCCUUUAGCCAAGUUGGCAGCUAAGGUGGAUGCUCAGAGCCCAGCUCUCAAGAGUUGAAGCAUCCAACGGUUCCUCAAUGCUCCCAGGAGCAGUUACCUGGGCACUCUGUGUCUGUCACCCCUGUCCCGGCCCCGGGGGACAAGGGCCUGCCAGUAGGGCUCAGCUACCUGGAGCCUGCUCAUCCCAUCCCCCAGUUUACUAUGUUUGUGGGAUCCCCCUGUUGCCACUGCCCCUGGAUGGAAUGGCAGGGCCAUCCUACAAGUACUCAGACACUUGGCAUCAGUGGUGUGUCAAAACAACUCCAAGGGUUUUCCGUGAUCCUGCAAGCCCUGUGUUCCUUGCUGGCGAUCCUGCCUUCAAUCUGAAUGCACAGGUACCACAGCAAGCCGGUGCUGUGUGCUCCCAAUUCCAGGAUGUCUUGCAGCUCAGCCAGUGCACUGAGCACAAGGACUCUGUGGGGCCCAGGAGCAGGGAGUCACCCCUUUGGGGCCCACAACAUCCAGCUGUGCCCCAGACUCCUGUCCAGAGAAGAUCGUGUUGAGGGCCCUCAAGGAGAGCAGGGCAGGGAUGCCUGAGCAGGACAAGGACCCCAGAGUCCAAGAAUUUGAUGAUCAGAGAAGGGUCCCCGAGGUCACUGGGGAUGCGCGGUCUGCAUUUAGGCCCCUGCGGGACCUCCAUGCCCAGAGGUCAGAAGUCGGAUAUAACCGGAGAUCUCAGACCUCCUGGAUGAGCUCGUGCACCAAAUGAAAUGCCAUUGUGAGCUCCUACAGUUCCAUGGGAGGCUUCCUGUCACUAAAGAGGAGGGGGUCAGCCUCAUCCCACUGUCGGCUGCCCCUCAGGUCCUCAAAGACAGUGAGUGAGGACAGGCCUCAGGCUGUCUCUUGGGGUCUCGCCCAGUGUGAAAAGGCAGCAGAUGCAGCAUCAGGGCAGACACUUGCCCCCAGGAAUGGCUCCCCCACAUCCCAGGCCUCUAGGCCCCAUAGACACAAGUUUCCUCUGCUGCCACUCAGGCAAGGGGAGCCUCUGAUGCUGCCACCUCCCUUACAGCUGGGAUCCGGGGUCACUGCUGAAGACCUGGACCUGGAGAAGGAGGUGGCACUCCGGUGCAAAAGUACACUGCGGGGUGAGACCAAGGCCAUCUGGGACUGCAGACCCUCACGGCCUUCCCACACUUUGUCCUCACUUGCAACAGGGACUUCUUGUCUGCCUGUUGUACAUAAAGCACCCAGCAUGGAUGUACAGCAGGAGAGACACAAGUCCCAAGACUAUGCGGCUGUCUUUCUGGGCUCUCUCAUCCGUCCCAUUGAUCUAUGUGUCUAGUUUUAUGCUAGGACCAUGCUGUUUUGGUUACCAUGCACUUGUCAAAAAUUUUGUCGUUCUAAUUUGCAGUGACAUGGGAUGCCUCUAGUUUUGUUGUUUUUGCUGAGGAUGACUUUGGCUCUUUGAGCUCUUUUUUGGUUUCAUAUGAGUUUUAUGAUUUUCCAGUUCUGUGAGUGAUGACAUUGGUAUUUUGGUAGGGGUUGUAUUGAAUCUCUAGACUGCUCUGGGCAGUGUGGUCAUUUUAAUGCUAUGAAUUCCUUCCACGAGCAUGAAAUGACUGUCCAUUUCUUUCCAUCCUCUUAAACAUUUUCAUCAGUGUUUUGUAGUUUUCCUUGUAGAAAUCAUUCACCUCUUUGGUAAAAUUUCCUCUGUGGCGUAUCAUUUUUCAUUUUGUUGCUACUGUAAAUAGGAUUGCCUUCUUAAUUUCUUUCCUAGACCACUACUGGUGUAUAAAAUGCUGCUGAUUUUUGUAUGUUGAUUUUGUAUCCUGCAAAUGACUGUAUUAAUUUUUUAUAAAGUCUAGAGUUUUCUGGUGGAGCCUUUACAUGUUUCUAAAUCCAAGAUCACAUCUUCAUCAGACAAGGAUAAUUUGAUGUCCUCUUUUCCAGUGUGGGUGGCUUUUAUUUUCUCUUGCAUGUUUGUGUGAUGUCUAAUAAAAGUGGUGAGAACGGGCAUCCUCCUCUUGUUACUGUUUACAAAGGAAAUGCUUUUCACUUUUCCCCAUUCUGUAGUAGGUUAGCUAUGGCUUUGUCGUAUACAGCUUUUAUUAUUUCUAGAUUUUUUUUUUUUUUUUUUUUUUUGAGAUGGAUUCUGGCUCUUGUCACCCAGGCUGUAGUACAA